rnacentral:RNase_P_RNA from 1 species
GCGGAUGGCUGGACGGUCGCGGGGGGCAACCUUCGAGGAAAGUCCGGACUCCAUGACGGCAACGGUGCCGGGUAACACCCGGCGGGGGCAACCCCAGGGAAAGCGCCACAGAGAAGAGACGGCCCUGAUCGCACCCUGCGUGCGGCAUUGCAGACAUCAGGGUCACGGUGAAACGGUGGGGUAAGAGCCCACCGCGCGACUGGCAACAGAAGCGGCACGGCAAGCCCCACCGGGAGCAAUGCCAAAUAGGGGCCUUGCGCCGGUGUGAUCCAGCGAUGGAUAUCCCGGCAGGGACGCCUGACCCGAAAGGCCCGGGUUGGCAGCUAGAGGGUCGUCGGUAACGGCGGCUUUAGAUGAAUGAUCGUCCAUCCGCCGCAAGGUGGGGGACAGAAUCCGGCUUACAGGCCAUCCGCACAC